rnacentral:rRNA from 1 species
AUGCCACAAUCUUGCUUUCUUUCCCAUUUAGAUAAGUUCGAUGCUUCUUUUUGUUGGCUUCUGUGUCAUCCACCGUUAUUGACCACUAGUUGUUUCAUUUGCACCUCUGUGUAA